GUAGCGACAAGAAGAUUAAAAGAGGGAAGCAGAGGAGUUGGGAGCUGGCGGUCGUUCCCGGGGAAGAACUGCUAAAACAUGAGACCAAGGCACAGACCUUACUGUAUGAGAAGCAAUGCUCCUCAAACCUUCUGCGUGCUGACAUAGACCUUCCCAGGAGCAAAACUGUUGGCGGCGACCUGAGCGCUGGAAGCCGAAGGGGAAGAGGAAGGAGACGCGAAGCCAGGGCGGCCGGCACAAAGGCGGCGGACUCGCGGCGGCAGCGCCUGCCCGGCCGGGAGCACAACCCACGGCCCUACUCCAGCGAAGUCCCGCACCGGCUUCUAGGAAUAAAGUUUACGUUCUCCUGAGGCCGCACCCCCCACCUCCCACCCAGGACGGCACAUCUCCGUGUCCUCCUCCCCCAAACUCCACUCGGGACCCCGAGAACCACCCCAGCCUUCCGGCCACCACAACAAAGAGCCGCACCGACCGGCGAGGAUAAACAGCGGCGGAGGGCGAGAGGGCGGCGGGGCGAGCGCCUCCACGCAGCAACUCCGGAGUCCCCCGCUUGCCCGAGCGCAGUUUCUCCGCUGCUGUUUCCACCGGCUUUGUAACACUGGGAAUUUACAUCCUCACCCGCACCCCUCACGCCCGAGGAUUUUAAACUCACCUUUACUCUCGAACUGAGAGUUGCGGUAGAUGGGAUUUUUGCCUUUUCCCCAGAUGGUUGAAGGUUAAGAUUUUUGGAAACCCCACCACCUCCUUAUUUCUAUUAUUAUUUCUGCAAGAAAAGUAUAAAGAGAGUUGUAGUGGAGGUGAGAUUUGUGAUCGGGAAAGCCUUCGACUCCCUCCUUCUCCGUCUUCCGCCUCUCUCUCUCUGAUUAGUUCCUAUCCAGCAGCAGAUUGAAGCAGGAGAUGAUUCUUCUCAAGGUUUGUUCAGCAGCUUCACUUCUAGGCGAAGGCUUCAUGAACCAAGUGACGUCAACCAACAAGGCUUCUCUCUCUCUCCUCUCUCUAACAAUGAAAGUUGCUGUUAACAAGGGAAAAAAAGAGAGAGAAUUGUUUAUACCAUUUCAGUUCCAAUAAUAAAUGACCUAUCAGCUCCUAAAGGAGCCAAGGGAGGGGGUUGCUUCUUCUUUCCAAGAAUACUGUAGCUUUGAGUUUGCACCGUUCCUUGUCCCAGGAAAAAGUUAAGAAACUUAAAAUGUUUUGUUUUGCUUUUAAAGAAGACAGGACAGAAAACGGGAUUUAAAACUUAGUUUUUAAAAAAACAAAAGCUACAGAGUAGGGAGCAUAGGUCAACCAUCUCCACCUAAAUUUUUUUUGUUCCUAAACUCAGAAUUCUACAACCCAACUAAAUUAAUAUGCCAAGAUUUUGCGGAUGUUAAAACUCAAAAAAAGCAGUAUGCAAGACGGUCCCGGGGUAAAAUUCUACUGCCUUUCCACGGACAAGUUAAACUGGCUGUAAUGUUUAUGCACUAAGUUAAAAUAAAAUUUAAAUAAAAGACGUUA
rnacentral:lncRNA from 1 species